UACGGGGGGAGCAAGCGUUGUCCGGAAUCAUUGGGCGUAAAGCGCGUGUAGGCGGCUCGAUAAGUCUGCUGUGAAAGUCCAAGGCUCAACCUUGGGAUGCCGGUGGAUACUGUCGAGCUCGAGUCCGGAAGAGGAGUGUGGAAUUCCUGGUGUAGCGGUGAAAUGCGCAGAUAUCAGGAGGAACACCAAUGGCGAAGGCAGCACUCUGGGACGUGACUGACGCUGAGACGCGAAAGCGUGGGGAGCAGACAGG
rnacentral:rRNA from 1 species